CCUACGAGCGGCAGCAGUGGGGAAUAUUGGGCAAUGGGCGCAAGCCUGACCCAGCAACGCCGCGUGAGCGAAGACGGCUUUCGGGUUGUAAACUUCUGUUCAGAGGGAAGAGCAUAAGACGGUACCUCUUGAAUAAGCCACGGCUAACUACGUGCCAGCAGCCGGUGUUAUACGUAGGUGGCAAGCGUUUUCCGGAUUUACUGGGUGUAAAGGGCGUGCAGCCGGGAAUCAAAGUCAAAUGUGAAAUUCCGAGGCUCAAGCGCGGAAAUGCAUUUGAAACUGUUCUUCUUGAGUGCCGGAGAGGUGAGCGGAAUUCCUUGUGUAGCGGUGAAAUGCGUAGAUAUAAGGAAGAACACCAGUGGCGAAGGCGGAUGACUGGACGGCAACUGACGGUGAGGCGCGAAAGCGUGGGGAGCAAACAGGAUUAGAUACCCUAGUAGUC
rnacentral:rRNA from 1 species